rnacentral:tRNA from 1 species
GCCAGGAUGGCGGAACUGGCAGACGCGUAGCUCUCAAAAAGCUAUGAGGUUUAUCCUCAUGUGGGUUCGACUCCCACUCCUGGCA